AACGUAAGGUUUGGUCCUGAACUUAUAAUCAAUAUAUCUCUUAAUUUAUACAUGCAAGUCUCAGCACCCCCGUGAGGACGCCCUUUUUCCCUUUACCAGGUCAAGGAGCUGAUAUCAGGCACCACACCCAUCCCGCCCACAACAUCUAAUCCCACCACGCCCACAAGGGUAUUCGAAAAGGAUAAGCAUUGACUAGAAGCGCCAGCUUGAUUCAAUUAGAGAGAAGAGGGCCGGCUAACUAGGUGCCAGCCGCCGCGGCUACCCCCCGGGGCCCAAAUUGGUGAGAACCGCUGUUCAGGGCGAUUCAUGACUACCCUAAUUAAAGGAAAAAAGCACACCUGAAGCACAGAAUAUC
rnacentral:rRNA from 1 species